CUGGGGAUGACAACCUAGUAUCUAAGUGGUGUUAGCUAGUGUCAACACUGGGGUAAAACUGUAUGAUAAUUGAUAAUCUCAAUCAUAUUAGUGAUGUGAAUGAUGACUCGAAAUUCCAUAUUCAUUCCUGAUUAGUAAUCAACCUUCCCCGGCAACGGCGCCAAAAAUGCUUGUUGGGCAUUCUUAACGUCAUUACCAAAAGUAGACUUAGUUUUCUAAUUCUGAUAACGGUGCCAAAAAUGCCGAACCUAUCCCUCAUGCCACUUAAGCCAAGUUGUCAUCCCCAGCAUGACAUGAGAGACGCGGUAUUGAAAUAUGCAAUUGCUCUUCUAAAUGAAUAAUAAAUAAGAUCUGCAAGUGCACAGAUUAAUACC
rnacentral:lncRNA from 1 species